GUAGGAGAGCAUCUCCUCCGCUCGAGACUCCAGGGUCAACUCAACCAUAUUUACCUGCCCUGAUCUGGACUUUAUAGGGGAGAUCAAGGUGGUUGUUGCAAGGGUGCCUCCUGUGUUGGACUUCGUUGUUGCAUGGGAUUGACUACUACAGCCAAUGUCUACACUUGGGCAAUCACAGUACUGAAUUGGUCUUGAUUUAUCCCCAC
rnacentral:lncRNA from 1 species